UACGGAGGGUGCAAGCGUUAUCCGGAUUCACUGGGUUUAAAGGGUGCGUAGGUGGGUUGGUAAGUCAGUGGUGAAAUCCCCGAGCUUAACUUGGGAACUGCCAUUGAUACUAUCAGUCUUGAAUACCGUGGAGGUCAGUGGAAUAUGUCAUAUAGCGGUGAAAUGCUUAGAUAUGACAUAGAACACCAAUUGCGAAGGCAGCUGGCUACACGAAUAUUGACACUGAGGCACGAAAGCGUGGGGAUCAAACAGG
rnacentral:rRNA from 1 species